rnacentral:rRNA from 1 species
UGGCAGCAGCAAGGAAUUUUCCGCAAUGGGCGCAAGCCUGACGGAGCAACGCCGCGUGGGGGAAGAAGGCUUUCGAGUUGUAAACUCCUUUUGCGAGGGAAGAAGAUCUGACGGUACCUCGCGAAUAAGCCACGGCUAACUACGUGCCAGCAGCCGCGGUAAUACGUAGGUGGCAAGCGUUGUCCGGAUUCACUGGGCGUAAAGCGCGCGCAGGCGGGCUGAUAAGUCCCGGGUUAAAUUCCACGGCUCAACCGUGGGCGGCCCCGGGAUACUGUCAGUCUCGAGGCAUUCAGAGGAGAGUGGAAUUCCCGGUGUAGUGGUGGAAUGCGUAGAUAUCGGGAGGAACACCAGUUUNGAAAGCGGCUCUCUGGGGAUGUCCUGACGCUGAGGCGCGAAAGCGUGGGGAGCGAACCGGAUUAGAUACCCGGGUAGUCCACGCCGUAAACGAUGAGUACUAGCUGUCGGGGGUGUCGACUCCUUCGGUAGCGCAGCUAACGCGUUAAGUACUCCGCCUGGGGACUACGGCCGCAAGGCUAAAACUCAAAGGAAUUGACGGGGA